rnacentral:rRNA from 1 species
GUCUACGGCCAUGCCACCCUGAACACACCGAUUGCGACUGAUCUCGGAAGCUAAGCAGUGUCGGGCCUGGUUAGUACUUGGAUGGGAGAACACCUAGGAAGACCAGGUGCUGUAGGCA